AGGGUUUGUGAUAUUCGUCGUUGAAAAUUGGGCGCAAUGGGAGAAGUCGGAGAAGAGAAAAGAGAAGUAGUAUUUAGAGACAUUAGAAGAUAUUACUGUGAAUUUUGUGGCCUUUGCCGUUCGAAGAAAUCCCUAAUUUCCUCUCAUAUUCAGUCUCAUCACCAAGAUGUAAUUGAGAGCCUGAAAGAUGACGCAACUGAAAAUGCUAAGGGCUCAAAAAUGAAUAUUUGCGAGGAAUGUGGUGCGACUUUUCAGAAGCCUGCUCAUUUGAAGCAGCAUUUGCAAAGUCAUUCACUCGAGAUUGAGAUAUUUUGAGAAACAUUGUGGAAUUAUGUGAAGGUGUGACGCAUUGGAUCCCAAAUAAAGAACUCCAAAAUGCAAGAGAGGCCAUUCGUAUGUCAUAUAGAUGACUGCCAGUCUAGCUACCGUAGAAAGGAUCACUUGUCGAGACAUCUCUUGCUGCACCAAGGGAAGUUGUUUGAAUGUCCUGUUGAUGGGUGCAAAAGCACAUUCAGUUUUCAAGGCAACAUGACUCGGCAUGUCAAAGAGAUGCAUGACCAACCUGCCUCUGCAGAGGUUGAUCUUCCAAAGGAAUAUGUCUGCUCUGAAGCUGGAUGUGGAAAGGUGUUCAAAUAUGCAUCCAAAUUAAGGAAACAUGAAGACUCUCAUGUUAAGCUGGAGACUGUUGAGGCUAUGUGUUUAGAGCCAGGGUGUAUGAAACACUUCACAAACGAGAAAUGCCUCAAGGAACACAUAGAGAGUUGCCACCAACAUAUUGAUUGUGAAAUAUGUGGGACCAAACAAUUGAAGAAGAAUAUUAAGCGGCAUCUUCGCACACAUGAAGAAGGGCCUAUAUCAGAGAGAAUAAAAUGUGAAUUCCAGGAUUGCCUGCACACCUUCUCCUCAAGGUCAAACCUUGCUCAACACAUCAAAGCCGUGCACGUGGGAUCUAAACCAUUCUCAUGUAGCAUAUCUGGUUGUGGUAUGAAAUUUGCCUUCAAGCAUGUGAGAGAUAAACAUGAACAAUCAGGCUGCCAUGUUUAUACUCCUGGAGAUUUUGAAGAGGUCGAUGAGCAAUUCCUAUCUAGACCAAGAGGCGGUAGAAAGAGAGAACCUACUCUUUUCGAGUCAAUUAUGCGGAAAAGAAUUACACCGCCCAGUGGUAUAGAUCCUGUGUUCAAUCAGACACCAGAAUAUCUCUCAUGGUUACGCUCCAUGGAAUCGGAUAAUCAAAUGUGAGUCAUCUAUUUGGCCAGAUGUUGGGUUGAAGUCUCAAUAGUUCCUCUCAGUAGAAUCAGGGUUAGACUCUUGAGUGUCUCCUGGGCAGCAUCUUGGAAGAUCUCGUGUUGUAUAUGCUGUCCAUAAUUUGAAUCUAGCACACUACAUGUUAUAUAAUAUAGUUGAGAAGUGUUAUCGUAA